GGGGUCUUAGCUCAGUGGUAGAGCGCGCGCUUCGCAUAAAGAGAUUGCGUGAGGUCGUGGGUUCAAUCCCCACAGACUCCA